rnacentral:rRNA from 1 species
UCGGGAGCAAAAGAAACUAACAAGGAUUCCCCUAGUAACUGCGAGUGAAGCGGGAAAAGCUCAAAUUUAAAAUCUGAGGGUCUUGUUGGCCUUCCGAGUUGUAAUCUAGAGAAGUGCUAUCCGCGCUGGACCGUGUACAAGUCUCCUGGAACGGAGCGUCAUAGAGGGUGAGAAUCCCGUCUUUGACACGGACUACCAGGGCUUUGUGUGAUACGCUCUCAAAGAGUCGAGUUGUUUGGGAAUGCAGCUCUAAAUGGGUGGUAAAUUCCAUCUAAAGCUAAAUAUUGGCGAGAGACCGAUAGCGAACAAGUACCGUGAGGGAAAGAUGAAAAGAACUUUGGAAAGAGAGUUAAAAAGUACGUGAAAUUGUUGAAAGGGAAACGCUUGAAGUCAGUCGCAUUGGCCAGGGAUCAACCUUGCUUUUGCUUGGUUUAUUUUCUGGUUAAUGGGUCAGCAUCAAUUUUGAUCGGUGGAAAAAGAUCAAGGGAAUGUGGCAUCUUCGGAUGUGUUUUAUAGCCUUUGGUUGUAUACAUCGAUUGGGAUUGAGGAACUCAGCACGCCGCAAGGCCGGGUUUUUAACCACGUACGUGCUUAGGAUGCUGGCAUAAUGGCUUUAAUCGACCCGUCUUGAAACACGGACCAAGGAGUCUAACAUGCACGCGAGUGUUUGGGUGGAAAACCCGAGCGCGUAAUGAAAGUGAAAAUUGAGAUCCCUGUCGUGGGGAGCAUCGAUGCCCGGACCAGAUCUUUUGUGACGGUUCCGCGGUUGAGCGUGUAUGCUGGGACCCGAAAGAUGGUGAACUAUGCCUGAAUAGGGUGAAGCCAGAGGAAACUCUGGUGGAGGCUCGUAGCGAUUCUGACGUGCAAAUCGAUCGUCAAAUUUGGGUAUAGGGGCGAAAGACUAAWCGAACCWGCUAGUAGA